UAUUUCUCUUGAAAUUCCCAAGACCUAAUAAAGAUAGUGUUAAUAUGUGUGUUAAGUCUAAUAAGAAGAAAAAUCCAUCUACUAGUAAUGUAGUAAAAUGCAUAUUGAAUUUAACUAAUCAUUGUCCUUAAUAGGAAGAGCAGCGAAGAGGCACAAAAAGAGAGGAGAAGGAUAUCAAAUUUAUUGAACAUAAUGGAACCAAGCCUCCUUCAGUUUUAUAUUUCUCGACAGUGGCUUAAUAAAUUUAAGACCUUUGCCGAACCUGGCCCUAUUUCAAAUAAUGACUUUCUUUGUAUUCAUGGAGGUGUUCCUCCAAGAAAAGCUGGUUAUAUUGAAGACCUGGUUUUGAUGCUGCCUCAGAACAUUUGGGAUAACCUAUAUAGCAGGUAUGGUGGAGGACCAGCUGUCAACCAUCUGUACAUUUGUCAUACUUGCCAAAUUGAGGCGGAAAAAAUUG
rnacentral:sRNA from 1 species